UCUUGCUUCAAGUAACCUUUGCUUUCCAUCCCUCUCCGUCCCUAGAGUUUUGUUCCUCAUUCUGUUCCUUGUUUUGUUCCUCCAAUCCCUCUCUCUACGUCGCUCCCCCACCCUGGUUCUCCAACUGUCCUCUUGAUUAACAUUUUUCCUGCAUCUAGCCUGUCCAAUCCCUUAAGAAGUUUAUAUGUUUCUAUCAGAUCCCCGCUCGGCCUUCUAAAAUUGCAGUGAAUAUGUCCAGUCGAUCCAGGUUAAUUCCCGGGAUGGCGGGUCUGACGUAUGAUGAAAGAAUGGAUCGACUGGGCUUAUAUUCACUGGAAUGAAGAAGGAUGAGAGGUCAUCUUAUAGUGCUUGUGCCGCACAGCGCCGCGCAAAAUUCAAACGGGCACGCGGACUGUGCCUUCGACCUGUUAAAUAGCAUAUGAAUAUGCUCAAUGUCUAUUAAUCUGGUUCAUAAAUCUAUAAGGGCUAGGUGCAGAGUCACUUGGUCUAGUCAAGUCAUAAAGUUCAUAAAUGAUAGGAGCAGAAUUAGGCCAUUCGGCCCAUCAGGUCUACUCUGCCAUUCAAUCAUGGUUGAUCUAUCUCUCCCUCCUAACCCCAUUCUCCUGCCUUCUCCCCAUAACCUCUGACAAAUUUGGGCCAAUAUUUCCCCUUGACAGAUCCAGCAUAAGAUUUUGGUGCUCAGAUUAACAACACAUAGAUUUAUCGGAAAAAUGUUAUCCCAAGUAAUAAUGAAAUAAUGGCUAUUUUGUUUACUAUCAAUGAGAAUUUUUUGAAAUACCUAUAGAUAUAUUCUUGAGAGUUGAACAAUUUGUGAACCUUUAUAAUUCAGCAAUAAGUGCCAAAUAUUACUUAAACCGGAGUCUAAAAGUCAAUCAUUUUAUGGAUCUAGGAAAUGACCUUCAUGCAUACAUUAAAGGAACAACCAUCCGUUCAGUUUUGAAUGAACCUUUAGACUUCUUAUCUGAUUAUUGUCAGGUUUAUUGGGUUUCGUUUGUUGAGCUUUUACUUUUGCAAAAGGAGCUGCCAUGGAAGGCAAAAGUGUUUUUCAAGUCUGGGAUUAUGUUAUAUUUAUUUCUAUGGUGCUGGUAUCUGCUGCAAUUGGCUUAUUUUGUGCUUUUAAAGACAGUAGGUCUGGACAAGAAUCAACUGAAGAGUUCUUCGUGGGAAACAGACAGAUCUCUGCGUAUCCAAUUGCUCUUUCAUUGGCUUCAAGUUUCUUGUCUGCUAUAACAGUAAUUGGAAAUCCAGCUGAGGUUUACAGCUUUGGGAUAAUGUUUCUGAUGUUUGGCUUCACUUGGUUCAUUACAAUGAUAGCCACCAGUCUGAUCUACAUUCCACUGUUUUACAGACUAAAUAUAAUUAGCACUUAUGAGUAUCUUAAUAGAAGAUUUGGACAGUUGGUGAGAUAUCAAGUCGUCUGUUGCUUCUUGAUAUACAUGUUCUUAUACCUUGGUAUUGUCACUUACGCUCCGUCAUUAGCACUAAGCCAGGUUACUGGAAUAAAUUUGUGGAUUUCCAUCGUAACAACUGCCUGUGUGUGUACACUGUAUACAGCACUGGGUGGUAUCAAAGCUGUCGUGUGGACUGAUGUCUUCCAACUUUGCGUUAUGUUAAUCGGCCUUCUGACUGUUCUGAUCCAGGGAUCAAUUCAUAUUGGAGGGCUUGAAAAGGUUUGGAACAUUGCUGAGAAUGGUGGCCGCCUUAAUUUUUUAGACUUUGACCCUGAUCCAAGGAGAAGGCACACGUUUUGGACGAUAAUAGUUGGAGGCACAUUUGGAUGGACAGCAACAUAUAGUUGUAAUCAAGCACAGGUACAAAGAUACCUUGCCUGUAAGAGUGAAAAAGAAGCCAAGAAAGCAGUAUUUCUGAACUGGGUUGGCAUGGUGAUUAUUCUUACAACAGCCUGCCUGUGUGGUUUAGUGAUGUACGCACUUUAUGGUUCGUGUGACCCAAUAAAGGCAAACAGAAUUAGCAACACCAAUCAGCUGAUGCCAUUGAUGGUUGUGGAGAUUUUGAAUGAGACUCCUGGGGUAGCUGGACUCUUCGUUGCCAGCGCCUACAGUGGUACAUUGAGCUCAAUCUCUUCUGGCAUCAGUGCUAUGGCUGCAAUCGUUGUUGAAGAUUUUAUAAAGCCUCUCUGGAAACCAUGGGAACAGCUUUCUAACAGGAAGAAGACUCUGGCCACAAAGCUCCUAGCUAUGAUAUUUGGAUUUGCUACGAUUGGCCUGGCUGGAGUGGCUUCUCUGUUAAAAGGAAAUAUAAUUCAGGCUUCUCUCAGUGUUGCAGGAAUAAUUCAAGGUCCCAUACUGGGUGUAUUCACACUUGCAGCAUUAUUUCCAAAGAGUAACGGCAAGGUGGGAAUGAGAAAGUGGAUCCUUUGCUAAUUUCUCCGAUUGUACCAACCAUUCACAAAUUCAUCUUCAGAAUCAAACAAUCACUUCCAAAACGAGAAAGGAUGAACAAGUCUCAAACCUCAUGUCCAAUGUUCAAGGAGAAUUCUGCAAGCUGUGGAAAAACAACGCAAUUUUAAAUCCUUAAAUUGACCAAGAUUUCAGAUACCGAACUUGUGGGUCAAUGGCAGGUAGACAAAAGUGCUGGGGAAACUCAGCGGGUGAAGCAGCAUCUAUGGAGAGAAGGAAUAGGCGACGUUUCGGGUCGAGACUCUUCUUCAGACGGGAAUUAGUUUCUUAAUGAAGCACUACUCAAUCCCCAUAAAAUAAAUCAAUAAAAUAAUCAGAUUUCAGAAAAAUGACUGGCUGGUAUUUCUUUCUUGUAAUGUAAAUAUGUCCUUUUUUAGUUUGUCCUAUUACCAAACCAUGGGCAGAUGCAGAAGGCUGUGGAAAAAUUGAUGAUAUUGGGGUGUAGAGCGAGAUUGGGGUGUCGAGUGGCUAACGGAAUCAAGGGAGAUGUGGGGAGAAAGCAGGAACCGGGUGCUGAUUUGCUUGCUUCACUGUUUGCUACUUGCUUGCUUGACAUGUUUGCUUUCAGUAACUAGUGUGCAAGGACAUUAGUCUUUUGUUUUUAGCAAAUUCCACAAUCUAUUGCCAUUCAAAUAAUCUCAGGCAGUCAAAAAUGCUGGAGAAACUCAGUGGGUGCGGCAGCAUCAAUGGAGCGAAGGAAAUAGGCCCAACACCCUUCUUCAGAUAAUCUCUCUGUGUUUGUUCUUCCUGAAACGAACUUCACAUUUAUCCACGUUAUACUGCAUCUGCCAUAUAUUUGCCCACUCAUUUAACUUAGGUCAUAAGGAAUAGGAGCAGAAUUAGGCCAUUCGACCCAACCUCUCAAUUGCCCUGAAACCAUUUUGCAUCCUCCUCGCAACUCCCAGUUUCACUCAGUUUUGUGCUGUCGGUUGACAAUAGACACUGGACAAUAGGUGCAGGAGUAGGCCAUUCGGCCCUUUGAGCCAGCAGCACCAUUCAAUGUGAUCAUGGCUGAUCAUCCACAAUUAGUACCCCGUUCCUGCCUUCUCCCCAUAUCAGUUACAUCAGUUCUCUCAUCCAAAUGAUUGAUGUACAUUGUGAAUAGCUGGGCCCAAGCACCACCCAUUAGUCACCAUCUGCCCCCCUGAGAAAGUCCUGUUUAUUCCAUUACUGUUUGGCGUUCAUCAACUGAUUAAAACAAAAACACUUUGUUAUUUGAGUGCUUCCAAGCAGUUCCUUUAAACUCCACACAGUCGCAUUGCUGUACCACAUCUACUGUGGGUCAAACAAUCAUUCUUAGAUGCAAGAAGUGACCGAUAGAUCAUGUGGUUGGUUAUAAAAUAUUGGACUUUUAACCUGAUUUCACUCUGAUCACUGGAUUAGGAUUUUA